AAAAUAAUGAAAAAAAUUGAAAAAAUCUAUAAAUUUGUCAAUCCACUAAGGCUCAUUUUCGCACCAAGUUUUGCCUAUAACUCGCUCGGUAUCCAACGGAUCGCCAAUCUUUAACCUGUGGUCGAUAGAUGGCAUCAAUGGCUACCUUUUCUUCGUAGACGGCCAUGCCCUCAGAUGUCUGUGCCAGAAGUUAUGCGAGGAACCAAGUUCCUUACCCUGUUUGAGAAAAUGUAAAAUGUUCCUCAUUUUUGCACCAAGUUUUGCCUAUAACUCGGUCGGUAUCUAACGGAUCUCCAAUCUUUGCCUGUGGUCGAUAGAUGGCAUCAAUGGCUACAUUUUCUUCUUGGACGGCCAUGCCCUCAGAUGUCUGUGCCAGAAGUUAUGCGAGGAACCAAGUUCCUUACCCUGUUUGAGAAAAUGUAAAAUGUUCCUCAUUUUUCUGCAAUUCAGCAAAAUUUUUAAAUGUGAUAUAUUUUAUUGCGAGUUUGUUGCAAUAAGUUUCUUUUCACUCAAAUAAUGCUUUAAAUUAAAAAAAGAAUAAAAAAUCAGAAAAAAAUUUCAAAAAAAUUUUCCACUCGAAAAUUUCAUAAGGGGUACCCCUUGCCAUUUUUUUGAGAAAUUUAGCAAAAUUUAAAAAUUUGUUUUAUUUUAAUGCGAAAUUGUUGCAAUUAGUUCCUUUUCACUCAAACAAUGCUUUAAAUUAAAAAAAAGGUAAAAAAUAAUGAAAAAAAUUGAAAAAAUCUAUAAAUUUGUCAAUCCACUAAGGCUCAUUUUCGCACCAAGUUUUGCCUAUAACUCGGACGGUAUCUAACGGAUCUCCAAUCUUUGCCUGUGGUCGAUAGAUGGCAUCAAUGGCUACAUUUUCUUCUUGGACGGCCAUGCCCUCAGAUGUCUGUGCCAGAAGUUAUGCGAGGAACCAAGUUCCUUACCCUGUUUCAGAAAAUGUAAAAUGUUCCUCAUUUUUCUGCAAUUCAGCAAAAUUUUUAAAUGUGAUAUAUUUCAUUGCGAGUUUGUUGCAAUAAGUUUCUUUUCACUCAAAUAAUGCUUUAAAUUAAAAAAAGAAUAAAAAAUCAGAAAAAAAUUUCAAAAAAAUUUUCCACUCGAAAAUUUCAUAAGGGGUACCCCUUGCCAUUUUUUUGAGAAAUUUAGCAAAAUUUAAAAAUUUGUUUUAUUUUAAUGCGAAAUUGUUGCAAUUAGUUCCUUUUCACUCAAACAAUGCUUUAAAUUAAAAAAAGGUAAAAAAUAAUGAAAAAAAUUGAAAAAAUCUAUAAAUUUGUCAAUCCACUAAGGCUCAUUUUCGCACCAAGUUUUGCCUAUAACUCGGUCGGUAUCUAACGGAUCGCCAAUCUUUGCCUGUGGUCGAUAGAUGGCACCAAUGGCUACCUUUUCUUCGUGGACGGCCAUGCCCUCAGAUGUCUGUGCCAGAAGUUAUGCGAGGAACCAAGUUCCUUACCCUGUUUGAGAAAAUGUAAAAUGUUCCUCAUUUUUGCACCAAGUUUUGCCUAUAACUCGGUCGGUAUCUAACGGAUCUCCAAUCUUUGCCUGUGGUCGAUAGAUGGCAUCAAUGGCUACAUUUUCUUCUUGGACGGCCAUGCCCUCAGAUGUCUGUGCCAGAAGUUAUGCGAGGAACCAAGUUCCUUACCCUGUUUGAGAAAUUGUAAAAUGUUCCUCAUUUUUCUGCAAUUCAGCAAAAUUUUUAAAUGUGAUAUAUUUUAUUGCGAGUUUGUUGCAAUAAGUUUCUUUUCACUCAAAUAAUGCUUUAAAUUAAAAAAAGAAUAAAAAAUCAGAAAAAAAUUUCAAAAAAAUUUUCCACUCGAAAAUUUCAUAAGGGGUACCCCUUGCCAUUUUUUUGAAAAAUUUAGCAAAAUUUAAAAAUUUGUUUUAUUUUAAUGCGAAAUUGUUGCAAUUAUUUCCUUUUCACUCAAACAAUGCUUUAAAUUAAAAAAAGGUAAAAAAUAAUGAAAAAAAUUGAAAAAAUCUAUAAAUUUGUCAAUCCACUAAGGCUCAUUUUCGCACCAAGUUUUGCCUAUAACUCGGACGGUAUCUAACGGAUCUCCAAUCUUUGCCUGUGGUCGAUAGAUGGCAUCAAUGGCUACAUUUUCUUCUUGGACGGCCAUGCCCUCAGAUGUCUGUGCCAGAAGUUAUGCGAGGAACCAAGUUCCUUACCCUGUUUCAGAAAAU